GGGGUUUUUUUUGUUUUUUUUUUUUAGGUUCUCUCAUGACGUGUAAGCGCGCGGUGGUGUUUCAGCUACACGGCCGAGCUUGCCAGAGCAGUGCCGCGGUCUUCCCAGCAGUGCCCUCCGGGCAAGCCCUCAGUGCCUGACAAAGAGUCCCUUUCUGGCUCUCCUGUAGCUCCUUCAGAUACUGGUAGGUGCUGUGUGGUCUCCACACAACCUUCUCCUCUCCAGCCUGAACUGACCCAAAUUUCUCAUUAUGUCUCAACAGGGGAUGUGCUCCAGUAUUUUUGUAACUUUGUGGCCCCCCUCUUUUGGGAGGGUGGGGAAGGGGAGUGACGAGUGACCAGGGUAUUAACGCAAAUAGCCAGGGGAUAAGUCAGUGCUACAGUCAGACAGGAUGAGUGGCUUCAGGUUAUGGGCUUCACCUUGUCGCUAGGUCAUGAUUUAUGGCAUUUUCAAUGAUUGUCAUUAUUGGAUUGGAAAAGUAAACCACCAUAGAUUUAGCAUCACCAAGCUAAGGCAGGGAUAACUGACACGUGCAGCUUUGCUGUUGACACCUGCACUCUCCUCUAAGGCCACACUGUUCAUUUUUCACUAUUUAUCAGCUGUUCACACUGUAUAGCUGAGCUCAAUCUCAUUCUCAACCUGCCACCUACAGGGUGUGGAGUUUUUUCUCAGAGAUUAAAUUCAUUUGGAGAAAAAAAAAUUAAUUGACAGUAGCUAUUAGCUCCUAACCUAGAGAAGAGUCAAGGAAAUAUUCAACCUGGGUCCUGCCCUUUGGCAGAUGCCAUCCUAUAAAACCUUCAUGGUUCCAUAAUCUUUUAUUAUGUUCACCCUCAGAAGGAAAAUGAAUGAUUAACUUAUUAACACUUUAUUUUGAUAUAGUACUGCAAGAGUGCACAUCACCUUACAAACACAGAGAAGAUGACACAGGCCUGCCCGAGGAGUUUACAGUUCCACUUCGGCAAAUGCUACAAAAAAUUCUGUGGACAGGAAAAGGUGGGAGAGGUAAUGCUGGCAGGUUAAAGAGUGGGUUUUCUGAAAGAGGGGAUUGUCUCCAGAAUAAAAAGCAGGUGACAGAGGGUCAGGCACAAGGAAGUGACAAACAGCAGUAGGAUGACAACGUGGAGCACAGGACACCUGGCAAAAACAGAUUGCACAGAGACCGGCUGGCAGCACAUGGAGGAAAACAAGGACCUGUGGGCUUUAUAAUUAACAUGUAAGAUUGCAGCUACAUAACACAUCAUUGUUUCAGCUAUUCCAGAGAAGAUAACAUUGUGAAUCAGUAAUGGCCCUUUUUUUUU